AGGACAGCCUGGGCUCACUGCCGAGCUGGGAUCCUUACCCAUCGAGCAGCAUCUCCUCAAGAGCAUCUGUGGUGACUGUGCCCAGGGCCAGGCAGCCCAUUCAGCCUCCCUUCUGGUGAAAGGAGAAAAGGGGGACCAGGGUGUCCCUGGUGUGCCGGGUUUCAACGACUGUGCCAGGUGCUUCAUAGAGAGGGAGCGCCCGAGAGCUGAGGAGGCCAGGGGAGACAACAGUGAGGGAGAACCUGGCUGUCCUGGGAGCCCUGGCCUGCCUGGUCCUCCAGGGAUGCCUGGCCAAAGAGGAGAAGAGGGUCCACCUGGCAUGAGGGGCUCUCCUGGUCUUCCAGGCCCUGUUGGUCUUCAAGGGGAGCGAGGCCCCACAGGCCUGACUGGAGACAAGGGAGAACCGGGUCCCCCAGGACAGCCUGGCUACCCGGGUGCCAUGGGUCCCCCAGGACUGCCUGGCAUCAAGGGAGAAAGAGGAUAUGCUGGCCCUGCGGGAGAGAAGGGGGAGUCGGGCCCACCAGGAUCUGAAGGCCUUCCAGGUCCCCAAGGUCCAGCGGGUCCCCGAGGAGAGCGAGGUCCCCAAGGGAGCUCGGGAGAGAAGGGUGAUCAGGGAUUUCAAGGCCAGCCAGGUUUCCCUGGCCCACCGGGUCCCCCGGGAUUCCCAGGCAAAGCUGGAGCUCCUGGCCCACCUGGCCCCCAAGCAGAGAA
rnacentral:lncRNA from 1 species